UACGAAGGGGGCUAGCGUUGCUCGGAAUCACUGGGCGUAAAGCGCACGUAGGCGGCUUUUUAAGUCAGGGGUGAAAUCCUGGAGCUCAACUCCAGAACUGCCUUUGAUACUGAGAAUCUUGAGUACGGGAGAGGUGAGUGGAACUGCGAGUGUAGAGGUGAAAUUCGUAGAUAUUCGCAAGAACACCAGUGGCGAAGGCGGACUCACUGGCCC
rnacentral:rRNA from 1 species